rnacentral:rRNA from 1 species
AGUGAACGCUGGCGGUAGGCCUAACACAUGCGAGUCGAACGGCAGCACAGUAAGAGCUUGCUCUUACGGGUGGCGAGUGGCGGACGGGUGAGGAAUACAUCGGAAUCUACUUUUUCGUGGGGGAUAACGUAGGGAAACUUACGCUAAUACCGCAUACGACCUACGGGUGAAAGCAGGGGAUCUUCGGACCUUGCGCGAUUGAAUGAGCCGAUGUCGGAUUAGCUAGUUGGCGGGGUAAAGGCCCUCCAAGGCGACGAUCCGUAGCUGGUCUGAGAGGAUGAUCAGCCACACUGGAACUGAGACACGGUCCAGACUCCUACGGGAGGCAGCAGUGGGGAAUAUUGGACAAUGGGCGCAAGCCUGAUCCAGCCAUACCGCGUGGGUGAAGAAGGCCUUCGGGUUGUAAAGCCCUUUUGUUGGGAAAGAAAAGCAGCAGGUUAAUACCCCGCUGUUCUGACGGUACCCAAAGAAUAAGCACCGGCUAACUUCGUG